rnacentral:rRNA from 1 species
CCUACGGGAGGCAGCAGUGGGGAAUAUUGGACAAUGGGCGAAAGCCUGAUCCAGCAAUGCCGCGUGAGUGAUGAAGGCCUUCGGGUCGUAAAGCUCUUUUACCAGGGAUGAUAAUGACAGUACCUGGAGAAUAAGCUCCGGCUAACUCCGUGCCAGCAGCCGCGGUAAUACGGAGGGAGCUAGCGUUGUUCGGAAUUACUGGGCGUAAAGAGUACGUAGGCGGUUAUUCAAGUCAGAGGUGAAAGCCCGGGGCUCAACCCCGGAACUGCCUUUGAAACUAGAUAACUAGAGUCUUGGAGAGGUUAGUGGAAUUCCGAGUGUAGAGGUGAAAUUCGUAGAUAUUCGGAAGAACACCAGUGGCGAAGGCGACUAACUGGACAAGUACUGACGCUGAGGUACGAAAGCGUGGGGAGCAAACAGGAUUAGAUACCCUGGUAGUCCACGCCGUAAACGAUGAUAACUAGUUGUUCGGUCACUUGGUGACUGAGUGACGCAGCUAACGCAUUAAGUUAUCCGCCUGGGGAGUACGGUCGCAAGAUUAAAACUUAAAUGAAAUUGACGG